rnacentral:rRNA from 1 species
CCCUUAGAUGUUCUGGGCCGCACGCGCGCUACACUGACGAAUGCAACGAGCUUAUAACCUUGGCCGAAAGGUCUGGGUAAUCUCCAAAUUUCGUCGUGAUGGGGAUAGAUUAUUGCAAUUAUUAAUCUUCAACGAGGAAUGCCUAGUAAGCGCAAGUCAUAAGCUUGCGCUGACUACGUCCCUGCCCUUUGUACACACCGCCCGUCGCUACUACCGAUUGAAUGAUUUAGUGAGGACUUCGGACUGGGACCGAUGCGGCUUUCGGGCUGCGUCGGUAUUCUGGAAAGAUGUCCAAACUGUAUCAUUUAGAGGAAGUAAAAGUCGUAACA